GCUAAGAGGGAACGCAUCUCUUCGGUAGCGUCCUCCUCGAUCAGAAGGCAGAGGCAAAAAGACGAGUCGAGAUAUCGUUUCAGUCGCCACUCCACCCGUUGGCGGUUCGAUUGUUGCUCGACCACAC
rnacentral:snoRNA from 1 species